AGAGGGAUGAGCACUCCCUUUCUAUACUAAAACUGGAAUAUUGUAUAGAAUAUCAGUAUGGCUCCUACGGAAGGAUGACAUGCAAAUUCAUGAAGUGUCCCCCCUUUUU